GACGUAGGGCGCGAGCGUUGUCCGGAUUUAUUGGGCGUAAAGAGCUCGUAGGCGGCUUGUUGCGUCGACUGUGAAAACCCGCGGCUUAACUGCGGGCUUGCAGUUGAUACGGGCAGGCUAGAGUUCGGUAGGGGAGACUGGAAUUCCUGGUGUAGCGGUGAAAUGCGUAGAUAUCAGGAGGAACACCGGUGGCGAAGGCGGCUUUCUGGUCUGCUCUUGACGCUGAGGCGCGAAAGCUAGGGUAGCAAACGGG
rnacentral:rRNA from 1 species